UCCCUUUUUUUUCUGUUUUCCACACAGAUUUGUUAUCUUUGGAAAAGCUAUUUACCUGCCAUCCUACUAGUGAAGAUCUAAUUCUAAGAAUUCCAGUAUAUUCUUGUUUGAAUCUUGUUCUUUUCUAUCAUCUCCUGCGUGGUAUUUGAUUCUAGUUUGAAAAACUUGAAAUUUUAUUGCGUUUAUUUAUUGAAAGGCUAUUUUCAUAACAUUAAAAUAUCUCAUUUAAGAUUCCUGCAAAACAUGAAGCCUUUUCAUUUAGACAGUUG
rnacentral:misc_RNA from 1 species